rnacentral:lncRNA from 1 species
GCACCUCAGUACACUGCACUAUAGCAUACCAUCGAUGGGAAUAUUGCAGCAAAAUGAGCUUGGGGAGAAAAAAAAGAGUCUGGCUAGGAUCUAGCAAUGCAUGGAGUGAGGUGGAAAGUAUUUCCUAGGGAGGAAGGGGUGGUUUAAUCUAGUUCAGAAAGCUACUGAGUUCACAGGGAGUAGUAGUUCAUACAGUCUUUAUGCUUCAGUUUCACCUAAUGGUCUUACUUCUGUAGAAAAAAAAAAAAAGAUAUAUACAGUUGUAAAUGUACUGUUGUAAAUGCAUAGUUUUACUUGCCUCUGCUCCUGAGACAACCUGUCUCUAGGAUCCAAACGUACCCUGAAACACGUGGCCAGAUGGAAGUGAUGUGCUCACUCCUAGUGGAAUGUGGGAUACCAUGGCAGAUUUAUAAACGUACGUAAGGGAAUUGGGAAUGAAAGAGGCAAUUUAUGGGGAAGACUUUAUAAGGAAGCCCCGACCUAGUUAAAUUUAGACGUCAGAUGAGAGAUCUUACCCUGCAGCAAGCCCCCUCUCAUCAGUAUGGCACUCUAGUAGCUAUUUGGAACCCUCUGGUAGCUGGAGAUGCAGUUGUCCAAUAAGCAGCACAAGUAGUAGCUGACCUAGGCUAGCCUGUGGCAGGGGAGUUGGAACUUGAUGAUCCUUGAGGUCCCUUCCAAACCAAGCCACGCUAUGAUAAAAGAAGGAAAAUGCAGUACAGUUCUAUAAAGAAGAAGCCAUUGCAAAUUUAAUGGAAAGAGCCAGGUGGUGUACUUAUUACAAGGAGAGCCAGGCAGUGUGGUGUAUUCCAAAGAGAGCCAGUCGGUCUGGUGUACUCCAAACAGAGCCAAGCGGCAUAGUAUAGUCCAAGGAGAGCCAGCCUGCGUGGUAUACUCCAAGGAGAGCCAUCCUGUGUGGUGUAUUCCAAAGAGAGCCACGCUGCAUGGUAUGUUGCAAAGAGAGCCAGCCUGCACGGUAUGCUGCAAAGAGAGCCAGGUGGCGUGAUAUAUUCCAAAAAGAGCCAGGCGGUGUGGUGUAUUCCAAAAGGAGGCAAGCGCCGUGGUAUUUCCCAUGAACAAGGCAGGUGGUGCUGUAUGUUCCACGAGCGAAGCAGGCGGCAUAGCCUAUUCCAUAGGAGAGGCAGGUGGCGUAGCCUAUUCCAUAGCAGAGCCAGGUAGCGUAGUCUAUUCCACAGCAGAGGCAAGCAGCGUAGUAUAUUCCAUAGAAGGGGCAGGUGGAAUAGUAUGUUCCAUAACAGAGGCAGGUCGCAUAGUAUAUUCCAGAAGGAGGCAGGCGGCACAGUAUAUUUCAAGACGAGGAAGGCAGCGCUGUAUAAUCCAAGAAGAGGCAGGCGGCGCAGUAUAGUCCAAAAAGAGGCAGAUGGCAUCAUGUAUUCCAAGAAGGUACGGGUGGUGUAGUAUAUUCCAAAAAGAGGCAUGUGCCGUAAUACAUUCCAAAGAAGAUACAGGCGGUAUAGUAUAUUCCAAAUACAAGGCAGGCGGCACAGCGUAAUCCAAAGAAGAUGCAGGUGGCAUAGUAUGUUCCAGAGAGCCUUCAGGUGGUGUAGUUUAUUCCCAAGAAGCUGCAGGCAGCAUAGUACAUUCCAAAGAAGCUGCAGGCAGCAUGGUAUGUUCCAAAGAAGCUGCAGGCAGUGUAGUAGUUUCCAAGCAGAGGCAGGUGAUAUAGUAGAUUCCAAGAAGAGGUAGGCAGCAUAGUAGAUUCCAAAAACGAGACAGGCAGCAUAGAUUAUUCCCAGAAAGAGGCAGGCAGCAUAGUAGAUUCCAAAAGAGAGGCAGACAGCGCAGUAGAUUCCAAAAUAGAGGUGAGCAGUGUAGCAGAUGCCAAGAGCCAGGUAGCGUAGUAGUUUCCAGGAAAAGCCAGGCGGUGUACAAGAGUACAAGAAGAGGCAGGCAAUGUAGUAGAUUGCGAGAAGAGGCAGGCAGUGUAGCAGAUGCCAGGAAGAGGCAGGCAGCGCAGUAGACUGCCAGAAGAGCCAGGCGGCAGGCAGCAGCCCUGUCACAAUAGCAAGCGUUGCUUGAGCAUCUACCAUGUCACCGCUGUGUCUCUAUAUUCACAUAACGGGCAUUAGUACUGUAAUAGAGCAGUGCUCAGGGCAGCCACCCAUCAGAGAACCAAACCACAUGGAUGCCUCUUUCUAGUGCUUGUUUCCAAAACCACACAGAAAUAAAGCGAGAAGCAAAGGCCAUGAAGGUCCUUCUUAGGCCCACGUGCUGUAUCUAUUACUUAUCCACAGGUGAAAAUGAUACUCU